rnacentral:tRNA from 1 species
GGACUGGUUAGCUCAGUGGUUUGAGCGUGGUGCUGACAACAAUGAUAACACCGAGGUCGCGAGUUCAAUUCCCACUCGGUCCC